UGGGGCGUAGCCAAGUGGUAAGGCAGCGGUUUUUGGUAUCGCCAUUCCCUGGUUCGAAUCCAGGCGCCCCAG
rnacentral:tRNA from 1 species